AUUUCCCAUCUUGACUCUGCCACCCCCAGCCACGGGUUGGGGAGGUGAAGGCAGGUCUGAGUCACUAGCAAGGGGGAGGGCAGGAGUUAAACAAGUUGUGGCCGUGGCAUUCCCACAGAAGGCCCACGACCCGCUGGAAGGAAAGAGAUAGCAGACAAAAGGGUCUCGCUCUGUUGCCCAGUGGCCUGACCAUGGCUCACUGCAGCCUCCAACUACUGGCCUCAAGUGAUCCUCUUGCCUUGGCCUCCUGAAGUCCUGGAAUUACAGGCGUGAGCCACUGCACCGGGCCCAUUUAAUACUCUGAGCCCCACCUUUCCCAUCUGUGGAUGGAGGUAAUGAUAAUAGCAUCUUUGGGGUGUGGCUGUGAAGAUAGAUAGAUGAGCAUGCAAAGCUCCAAGUGCCUGCUGAAUUGUAAGUGAAGAACAUCGUGCACAACUACUCCGAGGCAGAAAUCAAGGUGCGCGAGGCCACCAGCAAUGACCCCUGGGGCCCCCCUAGUUCGCUCAUGUCCGAGAUCGCUGACCUGACCUUCAACACAGUGGCCUUCACCGAAGUCAU
rnacentral:lncRNA from 1 species